UUCACACAACUGUCUCAAACAGGUCAUGCCAAACAGAACAUGGACAUCUUCAUCAUGAGCAAACGACGUCUCCUCAUAUUUUCAUUCUUAUUGCUGUGGGUAUCAGGUCUAACUGAUGGGGGGGAAGUCAAGCAGACCGCCAUGCUGUGGAAAAACCAGGGUGAUAAUGUAUCUAUAGAAUGCAGUCAUACCUAUGGCAGUAGCUAUUACUAUAUGUACUGGUACAGACAGCUGCCUGGAGAACUAAUGAAACAAAUGGUGUUUACUAUUGCAAACUCCAAACCUGACUUUGAACCAGACUUCAGGGAUAAAAAAUUCUCAACCACCAAGCCUGACGCUGACAGUGGGACACUGAUAGUGAAGAAUUUGGUGCCAGGAGAUCAAGGCUUGUAUUUCUGUGCUGUUAGUAUGCACAGUGAUACAGCCACACUCAACACCCGUACAAAAACCUCAGAUCAUGAACUGUAGGGGGAUGUCAAGGAUCACAAAUACUCACAACUGAACAUGGAUUCAUCAUACCAAUUCAACUCAAACUGCUUAAUGUUUUGAAAGAAUUUAUUUCAACUUACAGUUAUUUUGUUCCAGG